UCUCCCUCUCUCCCUCCUUUCCGAUAUUCCCAAAUUCUCUGUUAUCUCUUGGGAUAAAAAAAAAAGGGGGAAAAAAAAAAAAAACCCUAAUCUCACUGCUCUCUCCCUCCCUCUCACCCAGUCGUCACUCUAUCUCUCUUGCAGCGGCAACAACAGCAUCUAGGUAAUCCUCUUCUUUCCUUUCGCUCUUGCUCGCGCAGACCUUCCCUCUCACCCAGUCGUCACUCUGCCUCUCGCUCUUGCUCGCGCAGCGGCAACAACAACGUCUGUAGCAGCGGCAACAACAGCAUCUGUAGCACCGUCUCUCUUGCAGCGGCAACAACAGCGUCACUCUAGUUCUCCCUCCGGCAUCCAGGUUUUAGGUAAGGACUAUAUUUAGGGACUUUGGUGUGGUUUGAAUUCGCAGAGAAGGUCAAGACAUUGGGAAAAUUUUCUCUAAUGAUGAAAUUUUAAACGAAUACAAGACUAACAUCAAAGUUGUAGGUGAACUUGUACCAAACCAGAUCAGUUCAACACGAGGAUUGCAUUUCGCAAGGUUGUCAGUGAAAUGUCUAAUAGCAGAUGAAGUGAUCAAUUAUAUCAAACAACACCAUCUGUACUCAAACUCCACGGUCUAACAAUGAGCCCAUAGCCACCAACUCUCGGAUUCCUUCAACAGGUAUUCAGAUCUUUAUUUGUGAAAUUCAUUGCAUUUCUUGCAAAUCUAGUUGUAAUAACAGAAUUUCAAAUGCUGAACAAAAUUUCAAUGAAAAACCCAACAAUAAAAUUAUUAUCAAACCAAUAUCGAAUACUCUCUACUUAGUUCAAAAUAAAAUAGCAUGACCAUAAAUCUUAAUUUAUCAUAUAGUUUUCUAUAGCCUAUUGUCAUUUUCUCACUACCAUUG